AUGCAAUGAAUAUCACCAUAAAAUAUAAACUACCUUCAAGUGAUUCAAAACAUUAUUUGUAGGUUUACAUCAAAUUCACAAGGAUACUACAUUAAAUUUAAGAAAAAAUGGCGGGUACAAAAGAGAUCCUUCCUACUGUAUGUUAAUUGAAUGUCAUUAUGAGCAACAACAACGACCAGGAACAUCAAAUUACACACAAAGAAAUAGCAAAUUAGAUUUUUGAAGCGUAAAAAAGAAAUAUUACACAGUAACCUUAUCCAAGCCCUCCAAAAAUUCACUCAAACCCAAACAGAAAACAAUCAUUCUAGGUAAAUGCCACACCACCUACAGUUUCAUCUGAAAUAAACACUCUUUUGCCGCUACCACUGAAACCCAGAUGAAGUUAAUCAAAGUAGAACAUCCGUGCACACUCACCUAAAAUUCCAUGUAAUGUUAAGCACGGACAAACAAUAGUCAUCUGCAUUUUCAUCCAGGCAAAGA
rnacentral:misc_RNA from 1 species